rnacentral:lncRNA from 1 species
GAGCUCGAACCCCUCCAAGAUCCCAAAGACAAACCCAGUGACGUUUCUCUAUCUCCCUCGUCUCUCAAUUUCUCCCUCUCACUGUUAAUCUCCCUUUUUUUUAAAAUUUUUAUAGGUGGGUGUUGUUGCUCUCUGUCCUGUGAAGAUAAAGCCAGAAAUCAAAAAUGGAUUUUCCCUUUUGUUUUCUUUUUUUCUUCUAUUCUUGUUCGUCCC